AAGUCGAGGGGCAGCAUGAUUUGUAGCAAUACAGAUUGAUGGCGACCGGCGCACGGGUGCGUAACGCGUAUCCAACUUGCCCUUGUCCCGGGGAUAGCCUCGCGAAAGCGAGAAUAAUACCCGGUGUAGCCACGGUUCCGCAUGGAAUUGUGGCGAUAGGUCCGCCGGACAAGGAUAGGGAUGCGUCCCAUUAGGCAGUAGGCGGGGUAACGGCCCACCUAACCGACGAUGGGUAGGGGUUCUGAGAGGAAGGUCCCCACAUUGGAACUGAGACACGGUCCAAACUCC
rnacentral:rRNA from 1 species